GGACGAGUAGCCAAGUGGUAAGGCAUCGGCCUGCAAAGCCGAUCAUCGUUGGGUUCGAUUCCCACCUCGUCCUCCA
rnacentral:tRNA from 1 species